GACGAACGCUGGCGGCGUGCUUAACACAUGCAAGUCGAGCGGAGCGGCGAACGGGUGAGUAACGCGUGAGUAACUGCCCCCCUCUCUGGGAUAACAGUUGGAAACGGCUGCUAAUACCGGACAGUGGGGUAUGACUCGCGUCCUAUCAGCUUGUUGGUGGGGUAGUGGCCUACCAAGGCGACGACGGGUAGCCGGCCUGAGGGGGCGACCGGCCACAAUGGGCUGCGAUACGGGCCAAACUGCGACGGGAGGCAGCAGUGUGGAAUAUUGCACACUGGGGGAGACCGUGAUGCAGCUACGCCGCGUGCGGGAUGACGGCCUGCGGGGUGUAAACCGCUUUCAGCCAUGACGCGGUAGUGGCAGAAGAAGCACCGGCUAACUACGUGCCAGCAGCCGCGGUAAUUC
rnacentral:rRNA from 1 species